AUGCCGGCCAAUCUUAUAACUGCCAGAGCUGCAUCCUUUUCUGAGCACUUUCUGUGGAGACUGGAGGCUGUUCUGCCCUUAUACAGGCUGGAAAGUCUGAGGAAUAUCCCCCACCAUUAUGGAAAAUCAGGCCAGAGUGCUCUCAAAUGAUACCCACAGAGAUGCAACAAGAUGUUCAUUAUCUCAAAGCUUCCUGUACUGUCUUCAUCUUAGUCACAACUAAAGGUGAGCUAAGUAUUGACUGAAAAGGAGGGAAAUAAAUGUUAAUAUAUGCGUAUUUGUGUGCA
rnacentral:lncRNA from 1 species